GAUAUGUGAAUACAUAGCAUAUCAGAAGGCACACCCGGAGAACUGAAACAUCUUAGUACCCGGAGGAAGAGAAAGAAAAUUCGAUUCCCUUAGUAGCGGCGAGCGAAACGGGAAGAGCCCAAACCAACAAGCUUGCUUGUUGGGGUUGUAGGACACUCUAUACGGAGUUACAAAGGACGACAUUAGACGAAUCAUCUGGAAAGAUGAAUCAAAGAAGGUAAUAAUCCUGUAGUCGAAAAUGUUGUCUCUCUUGAGUGGAUCCUGAGUACGACGGAGCACGUGAAAUUCCGUCGGAAUCUGGGAGGACCAUCUCCUAAGGCUAAAUACUCUCUAGUGACCGAUAGUGAACCAGUACCGUGAGGGAAAGGUGAAAAGCACCCCGGAAGGGGAGUGAAAUAGAACCUGAAACCGUGUGCUUACAAGUAGUCAGAGCCCGUUAAUGGGUGAUGGCGUGCCUUUUGUAGAAUGAACCGGCGAGUUACGAUUUGAUGCAAGGUUAAGCAGUAAAUGUGGAGCCGUAGCGAAAGCGAGUCUGAAUAGGGCGUUUAGUAUUUGGUCGUAGACCCGAAACCAGGUGAUCUACCCUUGGUCAGGUUGAAGUUCAGGUAACACUGAAUGGAGGACCGAACCGACUUACGUUGAAAAGUGAGCGGAUGAACUGAGGGUAGCGGAGAAAUUCCAAUCGAACCUGGAGAUAGCUGGUUCUCUCCGAAAUAGCUUUAGGGCUAGCCUCAAGUGAUGAUUAUUGGAGGUAGAGCACUGUUUGGACGAGGGGCCCCUCUCGGGUUACCGAAUUCAGACAAACUCCGAAUGCCAAUUAAUUUAACUUGGGAGUCAGAACAUGGGUGAUAAGGUCCGUGUUCGAAAGGGAAACAGCCCAGACCACCAGCUAAGGUCCCAAAAUAUAUGUUAAGUGGAAAAGGAUGUGGCGUUGCCCAGACAACUAGGAUGUUGGCUUAGAAGCAGCCAUCAUUUAAAGAGUGCGUAAUAGCUCACUAGUCGAGUGACACUGCGCCGAAAAUGUACCGGGGCUAAACAUAUUACCGAAGCUGUGGAUUGUCCUUUGGACAAUGGUAGGAGAGCGUUCUAAGGGCGUUGAAGCAUGAUCGUAAGGACAUGUGGAGCGCUUAGAAGUGAGAAUGCCG
rnacentral:rRNA from 1 species